rnacentral:rRNA from 1 species
GACGAACGCUGGCGGCGUGCUUAACACAUGCAAGUCGAACGAUGAAGCCGGAGCUUGCUCUGGUGAAUUAGUGGCGAACGGGUGAGUAACACGUGAGUAACCUGCCCUUGACUCUGGGAUAACUGCGGGAAACUGUAGCUAAUACCGGAUACGACCCUCGGAGGCAUCUCCUGGGGGUGGAAAGAAUUUCGGUCAAGGAUGGACUCGCGGCCUAUCAGCUAGUUGGUGAGGUAAAGGCUCACCAAGGCGACGACGGGUAGCCGGCCUGAGAGGGUGACCGGCCACACUGGGACUGAGCCACGGCCCAGACUCCUACGGGAGGCAGCAGUGGGGAAUAUUGCACAAUGGGCGCAAGCCUGAUGCAGCGACGCCGCGUGAGGGAUGACGGCCUUCGGGUUGUAAACCUCUUUUAGCAGGGAAGAAGCGAAAGUGACGGUACCUGCAGAAAAAGCACCGGCUAACUACGUGCCAGCAGCCGCGGUAA